UACGGAGGGUGCAAGCGUUGUUCGGAUUUACUGGGCGUAAAGGGUGCGUAGGCGGUCGGGUAAGUCUGAUGUGAAAUCUCCGAGCUUAACUCGGAAAUGGCAUUGGAUACUAUUCGGCUGGAGAGUUGGAGGGGGGACUGGAAUACUUGGUGUAGCAGUGAAAUGCGUAGAUAUCAAGUGGAACACCAGUGGCGAAGGCGAGUCCCUGGACAACUUCUGACGCUGAGGCACGAAAGCUAGGGGAGCAAACAGG
rnacentral:rRNA from 1 species